rnacentral:rRNA from 1 species
GCCCAGACUCCUACGGGAGGCAGCAGUGAGGAAUAUUGGUCAAUGGGCGCGAGCCUGAACCAGCCAAGUCGCGUGAGGGAUGACGGUCCUACGGAUUGUAAACCUCUUUUGCCGGGGAGCAAGCGUGCGUUCGUGAACGCGCGUCGAGAGUACCCGGAGAAAAAGCAUCGGCUAACUCCGUGCCAGCAGCCGCGGUAAUACGGAGGAUGCGAGCGUUAUCCGGAUUUAUUGGGUUUAAAGGGUGCGUAGGCGGGAUGCCAAGUCAGCGGUAAAAAUGCGGUGCUCAACGCCGUCGAGCCGUUUGAACUGGCGCGCUUGAGUUCAGGCGAGGUAGGCGGAAUUCGUGGUGUAGCGGUGAAAUGCAUAGAUAUCACGAAGAACUCCGAUUGCGAAGGCAGCUUACCAGUCUGCGACUGACGCUCAGGCACGAAAGUGUGGGUAUCGAACAGGAUUAGAUACCCAGGUA